GACGAAGGAUGCAAGCGUUAUCCGGAUUCAUUGGGUUUAAAGGGAGCGUAGGUGGCCUUAUAAGUCAGUGGUGAAAUCUCUGGGCUUAACCCAGAAAUUGCCAUUGACACUGUAGGGCUUGAGUAUAGUUCCGUUGGCGGAAUAUGACAUGUAGUGGUGAAAUACAUAGAGAUGUCAUAGAACACCGAUUGCGAAGGCAGCUGACGAAACUAUAACUGACACUGAGGCUCGAAAGUGCGGGGAUCAAACAGG
rnacentral:rRNA from 1 species